UGUGAAAUUGUUGAAAGGGAAGCGCUUGCGACCAGACUCGCCCGCGGGGGUUCAGCCGGCACUCGUGCCGGUGCACUCCCCCGCGGGCGGGCCAGCGUCGGUUUGGGCGGUCGGUCAAAGGCCCCCGGAAUGUGUCGCCCCUCGGGGCGUCUUAUAGCCGGGGGUGCAAUGCGGCCAGCCCGGACCGAGGACCGCGCUUCGGCAUGGACGCUGGCGUAAUGGUCGUAAGCGACCCGUCUUGAAACACGGACCAAGGAGUA
rnacentral:rRNA from 1 species